rnacentral:sRNA from 9 species
CUCACUAUGUGUAAUAAAACACACAUGUAUCGACACAUACGCCGGGGUGCCUUGAAAGAGGUCGGUUGUAUGGGAUACAUGGAGGCCCAAC